GACGAACGCUGGCGGCGUGCUUAACACAUGCAAGUCGAACGGAAGGGCCCUGCUUUUGUGGGGUUCUCGAGUGGCGAACGGGUGAGUAACACGCGAGUAACCUGCCCUUGACUUUGGGAUAACUUCAGGAAACUGGGGCUAAUACCGGAUAUGAGCUCCUGCUGCAUGGUGGGGGUUGGAAAGUUUCGGCGUUUGGGGAUGGACUUGCGGCUUAUCAGCUUGUUGGUGGGGUAGUGGCUUACGAAGGCUUUGACGGGUAGCCGGCCUGAGAGGGUGGACGGGCACAUUGGGCCUGAGGUACGGACCAGACUCCUACGGGAGGCAGUAGUGGGGAAUAUUGCACAGUGGGGGGAAGCCUGAGGCAGCAACGCCGGGUGCGGGAUGACGGCCUUCGGGUUAUAAACCGCUUUCGACUGUGACGAAGCGGGAGUGACGGUAAUGGGUAAAGAAGCACCGGCUAACUACGUG
rnacentral:rRNA from 1 species